rfam:Botryobasidium botryosum FD-172 SS1 unplaced genomic scaffold BOTBOscaffold_20, whole genome shotgun sequence.
GGCCGUAUAGUUUAGUAGUAUAAUGCCCGCUUUGGGCUAUUGCAAUUUGCGGGAGGUCCUGGGUUCAAUUCCCAGUGCGGCCC